GACGAACGCUGGCGGCGUGCCUAAUACAUGCAAGUAGAACGCACGGUUUAUACCGUAGCUUGCUACACCAUAGACUGUGAGUUGCGAACUGGUGAGUAACGCGUAGGUAACCUGCCUGGUAGCGGGGGAUAACUAUUGGAAACGAUAGCUAAUACCGCAUAAUAUUAAUUAUUGCAUGAUAAUUAAUUGAAAGGUGCAAUUGCACCACUACCAGAUGGACCUGCGUUGUAUUAGCUAGUAGGUGAGGUAACGGCUCACCUAGGCGACGAUACAUAGCCGACCUGAGAGGGUGAUCGGCCACACUGGGACUGAGACACGGCCCAGACUCCUACGGGAGGCAGCAGUAGGGAAUCUUCGGCAAUGGACGAAAGUCUGACCGAGCAACGCCGCGUGAGUGAAGAAGGUUUUCGGAUCGUAAAGCUCUGUUGUAAGAGAAGAACGGGUGUGAGAGUGGAAAGUUCACACUGUGACGGUAUCUUACCAGAAAGGGACGGCUAACUACGUG
rnacentral:rRNA from 1 species